GCCGAUGUAGCUCAGCGGCAGAGCAGCUGUUUCGUAAACAGCAGGUCACCGGUUCAAAUCCGGUCAUCGGCUCCA
rnacentral:tRNA from 1 species